CGGGUAGACAAGUCCAGAUGGCGGAAAUGCUAUGAAAAUGCUACACAUUACUUUGGUAAAACUAAUUCUCAAGUGUGGAUUGAUUAUAUUAAAUUCGAACGUGACCAAGGGGAUCCGAAAAAUAUGGCGCACUUAUACGAAAGAGCUAAAAGCACUUUAGAUAAGCAGCUAGUUGAUAAUUUCAUGACCGAAUUUACUUUACUCAAAGCAAUAAUAUAAACAAUCCCGUUUAUGCAUGCGCACAAUUUUGCUUCUUUGCGGGACACUGCUAUUCUUUCCAACUUAUCGAUACCACAGGAACCGCCUCAUUUCGACCUGCGUUGGCCACUGCUGCAACUACAUCCAUCUCGUUUUCAGCGGGCCUCAGUUGAUGGCCGGAUAACCCAAUUCGUGACAACAUUUCAAAACAUCAGUGAAUACAUUUAUAUAUUUACCAAAUAUAUACGCACCACCUUGUGUUUAUAUUAUACCA